rnacentral:rRNA from 1 species
AACGAACGCUGGCGGCAUGCCUAACACAUGCAAGUCGAACGAGACCUUCGGGUCUAGUGGCGCACGGGUGCGUAACGCGUGGGAAUCUGCCCUUGGGUUCGGAAUAACUCAGAGAAAUUUGAGCUAAUACCGGAUGAUGACGUAAGUCCAAAGAUUUAUCGCCCAAGGAUGAGCCCGCGUAGGAUUAGCUAGUUGGUGAGGUAAAGGCUCACCAAGGCGACGAUCCUUAGCGGUCUGAGAGGAUGAUCAGCCACACUGGGACUGAGACACGGCCCAGACUCCUACGGGAGGCAGCAGUGGGGAAUAUUGGACAAUGGGCGAAAGCCUGAUCCAGCAAUGCCGCGUGAGUGAUGAAGGCCUUAGGGUUGUAAAGCUCUUUUACCCGGGAUGAUAAUGACAGUACCGGGAGAAUAAGCUCCGGCUAACUCCGUGCCAGCAGCCG